UGAUUUUAUUUAUUAAUGAACAAUGUUCUUUAAAAUUGGCACCACACAGCAGAAAAUAUUGCCAUCACUGAACACAAUUUUCACCCAUCUCAAUUUUCACAGCAAGCUAAACUACUGAGAUUAAAAAUUGUGAAGUGGGAAAAUAUGAUGUUUUCCCUUAGCAAAAUAACAAUCCUUACACUUAAAAACAUCUUAGCUACACAUAUGACAAUGUAAGGUAGAGAAAGCAGUGAUAAACUCUAAGCCCCACAAGGAUACUUGCUGAUACAUAACUGAAGUGGGAUGUUAAUCACAUUAAGUCCUCUAAUAAACCUUAGGGCAACAAGUCAAAAACACGCUUUGUACUUUAGUUUUAAACUUUUGGUUUUUUAGCUUUUAAUUAAUUAGCUUGUGCCUUUAGUUCAAGUGUUAUUUCAGGGAGGAAGCACACUGAAAUUAUUUAGAAUUAUAUUUCUGCCAGUUACAAAUUAUCAUAUGAGGUUACCUUCACAGUUAAAAUUCAGAAUUACCAACAUUUCCAAAAUUGUGUAUACCUACCUCUCUGCACAAUUGACUGAAAAAAAUUCCAGCUCGAAGUCCAACUUUUCUGCUUUUAUAUUCCCCUCCUCUGUAGGGGAGGGAUUCAUAAUGCUUCCUACAGCAUAUUUCAAAUGAUCUAAGAAAUUUAGACCCUGCAUUUUCUUCUCUCCCUGGACAGAAGAAAUCCCUUUUCUCCUGAAAGAAUCGGAAGGUGCAAGCAAACUUUCAUGGGUUUAUGGAAGGAAGGAAAUGAAGUAAUGAUAAACUGCACACACACAAAAGCUACUAGAUUCUUCAUUCUGGUUGUAAAGAAAGCAGCUUUGCUCUGUCUGCAGAACAUGAGCAGUGCCUGAGUCAACAAGGUCUCUUACUUCAGUGAAAAUUCCUUUUUUGGUAACCAGAGAGUAGGACUUGGUGCAUUGUUAGUAAGUGAUGCAAAGCAACAGGGGAAAAAGGGUCAGUGCAAACAAGGAGGCAGCAAACAUGUUUCACACCUUCUGCAAGUCUUUGGUCCCAGCCUUGUCUGCAACAGCAACAAGUGCAGGUUAACUGAGCUUAUGGGAAAUAAAACUAAAGUUAAAAAUGCAAAAAAAAAAAAAAUAUAUCUAGCUGCUUCUCCACAUUUCUGCAGUUAAGAGCCCGUGUUCUAGUUUUUUCUGUGUCUUGCUAGGUAUUGUACAGCACUUGUAUAUAGUUUUCUAAAAGGUAGAUAAUGCAAAAGUUUUUCUUUGCUGCAUACGAUAUACAGCUGAAGUAAAAGCUGUACUUCCUAAGCAGUGUGUAAAAAAAAAACAAAAACAAACUGGUUCCAACUCAGAGAAUGACAAACUCCUCCAGUUUGACUUGGAGCCAAAAUUUUAUGUCCAGAAAGAAGUUGGUAGAGUAGUAAAUAUCACCUCCAAAUACUAUGCCUGUGAAAGAUUCAGAUUCAGAAGCAAUGAAACAAUUUUAAACACAACUUCCAGGACACGUCUCCCAUUUCAAGAAAAUACCAAAGCUGAGCUACUUUAAUUCAAAAUGCAAACAGCUGAACAGAGGGAAUUGCUCCAAGAUGGAGACUGCUGCAUACAGGAACUUCAGCAGCUCAAGUUUUAAUCUGUUGAAGAAGCAGCUGCUUAAAAACAUUGCACAUUCAAAGCAGGUUAGCUUUUCAGAUCACUGCUAGAUUUCCAGAUAGUGACACUGUAAUCUAUGGAGUGUUAGUCCUGUAACAAUUGCCUCUGGCUAGAGAAGGCUGGAAUUUGGGAUUUGCACAGUUCAGACAUGCAGAAGCUUUUGUACUACAGCUGUUGAAGAAGUAGCUCAAAGCAACAAUGAGCUCUUCCGGUUGUUUUACUUUUAUUUAAUGCUAGUGCUCCCACCAUAGGCAACAUAAAUAUUCAUAGAAGCAUUUUAGAGAAUUUGCUUUCAAGAGGUGUGCUAGUUUUAAUAGAAUAAGUGGUCAUUAAAAGCUGAAAAAAGUUCCCAUGUCCUUGUAAAGUCAGUUAAAUGCAAUUCCUUGACAAGGAAAGAAAGACUUAAGAAAGAAAGACGAUUAACAUGGCAACAAUCAUUUAUGCAGGGGAUUUCAGGAAAAAUACAGAUAAAACCUAAAGAGGUUAUAUCAAAAUGGAAGCUUUCUCAUUACUCCCAGAAUAGUUUCUUGUUUUCUUCUGAAGGACACCUGACAGGGCUGCAAGCCCCAGGCAUUCUCCCCGUGAGAAAUUAAGAAAGAAUAAAUCCUCCUCUCAUCUGGAGCAGUAUGCCCUCUGCCUCCUCCAGCAAACACUCAGAAGUAGAUGGGAAAUAACAGGAAUUAGGAGAAUACACGAAGCUUUAUCUUAGCUGUCUAUUUAUUAGUAAUACCAUUACUUAAGAGACAGACCAAAACUUGUGUCCAUUAGUCCUUUUAGCACUUGGGUUUUGGCUGCAUUUCCUCCCAACAGUGAUUUGAGAGAUGCGGCUCCAGCUGGCACAGCCAUGCUCACAGUGGGAAGGCAAAAAUAAGCACAUGAAGGUGAGAUUUGCAGCUAAAAGCAAGAGCCAUUUUCCCCUGUAUCAGUGACCUUUGACGUGAACAGACACAGCUAAGAGGUCAGAACAGAUACCACCAGCCACGAUACUUCAUCUUUCCCACCUUCCUGCUUCUGUUGCAGCAGAUCAGCUCGGUGCAGUUGCUGCACACAGGGAAUGGAUUCCUGUCUCAGUGCCACAGCGAGCACAUAGUGGUCUUUUCCCUUUUGCUCCCACUGAUUUCCAACCCUGCCCCACUUGUUCCCUCUGCACCAGAGCUUCUCUUAGCAGGUGGCACCUACUGUCAGGACAGACAUUUCCUGCAUCCGAUGUCUCCUCGGCAGCUUUCAGCCUUCCUAAAGUUCUUCAUGUGCAAGCAAACAAAAACCUCAAAAAGCUUGUUUUUGAACAACCAAAAUUGGGCUUUUUUCCCUUCCACCAAUGUGAGUUUGCAUUUUGACACAAGAUGCCUAAGGCUACGUGUUCUCCAAUUUUUCACACUAUUGAGGAAGAGCUUACUGCAAGCUGGGCAUAGCAACAGUUCAGCAAACUGCAGGAAACAUUACUUUGUCCUUUAAUACAGCUUGUCUUGGGAGACUAUGAUACUGCAAAUAUUAGCUUUUAAGCAUAUAUGUAUGUUAUGCAAGACUAGAUAGUGUCCUGCUGCUCUCUCCUGAACUCAAGGGUAACAAAAUAUCCAGCAUCUCUUACAUGUACCUCAAUCCCAACUUGGCACCUAGCAUCAUCUUGUAACAGUAAAAACUACAGAAGUGGUGGUUUAACCCCUGGAAAAACCUUCAGCAGGUUGCUUAUAAGUCAUAUUCAUGAAACCAUGGCAGAUUAUUGAAUGCUCAGGCAGAACUGGACAUCUAAUUCAUUAAAAAAAUUAUCAGGUUCUACCACUGCAUGAGCUGUAAUCACCUGAACAUCCUGAAGAUUUGAAAAAAAAAA